rnacentral:rRNA from 1 species
AUUGAACGCUGGCGGCAUGCUUUACACAUGCAAGUCGAACGGCAGCACGGGUGCUUGCACCUGGUGGCGAGUGGCGAACGGGUGAGUAAUGCAUCGGAACGUAUCCAAUAAUGGGGGACAACGCACCGAAAGGUGUGCUAAUACCGCAUACGCCCUGAGGGGGAAAGUGGGGGACCGUAAGGCCUCACGUUAAUGGAGCGGCCGAUGCCUGAUUAGCUAGUUGGUGAGGUAAAGGCUCACCAAGGCGACGAUCAGUAGCUGGUCUGAGAGGACGACCAGCCACACUGGGACUGAGACACGGCCCAGACUCCUACGGGAGGCAGCAGUGGGGAAUUUUUGACAAUGGCCGCAAGCCUGAUCCAGCCAUGCCGCGUGAGUGAAGAAGGCCUUCGGGUUGUAAAGCUCUUUCGCAAGGAAAGAAAACUUAUCCCCUAAUACGGGAUGAGGAUGACGGUACCUUGAUAAGAAGCACCGGCUAACUACGUGCCAGCCGCCGCUGUAAGAC